CACGUUUGCAGUGCCCUGGGACGGCAGGCCGAGGUAGCGGCCUCGGCAGCGCCCAGGUUAUUGAUACUAUAGCUGGGUGCGCGUACUCCACGCGGACAGACCUGCAGGCACAGGCAGAGUCACGUUGCCCCUGAGGACGUUGUGCGAAGGACCAACCUGCCACGAAACCCGCUAGGAGAGAAGGCAUCCAGGAAGGCUGUUGACAAAUGCUGCUUUUUCGUCCUGCGUUCUGCUCCCUGUAGAUCUUCUGCUUUUGGAAGUGUUUCAGGUAAUGUAUCACAUGACAGUGGAUGCCUGUAUUUUAGGUAUAUAAUAGAAGCACUUCUAAUGCUCUGAUAUUAGAGGAGUUGAAAUAGGC
rnacentral:lncRNA from 1 species